GCAGGGGCCAGCCAGAAGACCCUUUCCUUCCCCUCCCCUGGGGGGAGGGGUAGCCUUUUUUUAGCUCAUCCCCACCAGCCAUAUUUCUGUCAGGAGGUCCUCAAGACACUGAACACAGGUUCAGAGAUGGCAAAGCACAUGCAAUGCAUUAUAUAUUACAAUGCUUAUUUUAUUUUCCCCCGGAGUAGAAAGUGAGGUUUGUUAAUCUCGGAAAACCUCAAAGCCAAGAGGCCUUGUGCAGCUGCAGAUAGCAAAGCCAGUAGGAUUGCCACAGGGCCCUCUUUCUUGCAAGCUGAAGAAAAGUAUGCAAAUCAAAGGGACAAACAAGUUUCCUCACACGGAAAUGCUUGUCGGCAGGAAGCAGCAAAUUUUGAGCGGCUGCGGGCUCUGGCAGACCAGCAAGGCUCUGCAAAGUAUGCAGAACCCAUGGGGCCACCUCCCAGAGCCUGUGGCUUUUGAGUCGUCCGGGGACUUGGGCUGGGAUUCACCCCUGUGUUUCCUGCUGAGGACUUGACCAUGGCAGACCCUGAACCUGCUGAUCUCAAUAGCCAAGUGAAAGGGACUGAAAACAAGAAACGCUUCAGUGAGAUUUUCCGGAGUCUGGAUGCCAUAGAAAUUUCAAUUGGAAAUUCGGCAGUUGAUAUGUUCAUUGAUGAUGUUAAUGACAAUGAUAGUGGAAUCUCAAACCUGCAGACGGAAAAACUACAGGCAGAUGAAGCUUUCUAUAAAUGUGAAGGAAGUUCGGAAGCAGGAGAACCAGGGAACAUGUCAGGUAACAGGACAAGGGAGGUUAAACAAAGGUGGCCAAAUUCAGUUUGGAUUGCCACUGUCAUUUUACAUCUGCUGCUGGGCUUGAGGACUCUUGUAAGUUUUGGGCAUCAUGAAUGGCAGGACAUCCAGGACAGACAAAAGAAAGUCCUUCUCCACAAAAUGCACAAUUAAUUUAUGGAGCUCACCAUCACACAAUGUGGCGAUAACCAGUAGCUUAGAUGGCUUUGAAAAGGGGAUCUGAUGAGUUCAUGGAGGAUGUGUCAAUAAAAUGAUGGUUUUUAUUAUUAUUAUUAUUACAAAAGCCCACCCUCUGGUUAUAUUUUCACUUAACAGCAUGGCUACCCACAACCUGUUGUGAGGAUCAAAGUCACGUUUAAGCAUUACUGUAUUAAAGACAUAUGUGA
rnacentral:lncRNA from 1 species